ACCUCGGAUCAGGUAGGAAUACCCGCUGAACUUAAGCAUAUCAAUAAGCGGAGGAAAAGAAACCAACAGGGAUUGCCCUAGUAACGGCGAGUGAAGCGGCAACAGCUCAAAUUUGAAAUCUGGCUCUCGGGCCCGAGUUGUAAUUUGUAGAGGAUGCUUUUGAUGCGGUGCCUUCCGAGUUCCCUGGAACGGGACGCCAUAGAGGGUGAGAGCCCCGUCUGGUUGGAUGCCAAAUCUCUGUAAAGCUCCUUCAACGAGUCGAGUAGUUUGGGAAUGCUGCUCUAAAUGGGAGGUAUAUGUCUUCUAAAGCUAAAUACCGGCCAGAGACCGAUAGCGCACAAGUAGAGUGAUCGAAAGAUGAAAAGCACUUUGAAAAGAGAGUUAAAAAGUACGUGAAAUUGUUGAAAGGGAAGCGUUUAUGACCAGACUUGGACUUGGUUAAUCAUCUGGGGUUCUCCCCAGUGCACUUUUCCAGUUCAGGCCAGCAUCAGUUUUCCCCGGGGGAUAAAGGCGGCGGGAAUGUGGCUCUCUUCGGGGAGUGUUAUAGCCCGCCGUGUAAUACCCUGGGGGGGACUG
rnacentral:rRNA from 1 species